CGCAUCGAGACCGUAAAUUAGUCUAUUUUUGUAAGGUCUAUGGUUGAUCGAUUGAAAGGCCUACGGUUGAUCGAUGAUUAAGUCGAUGGGAUGCGUGCGAUGAUGCGUGGUAGAAAGGUCGGAGAAAAGAUGGCGAAAGGACGCUAGUGUGGUGCCCAGAAAAUUCGGUCUCCAUCCAUAUUUUGUGAGGUUCCCGAAGGAACGAAGUUUGUGUUUUGGCGAUGAGAGAUUGUCUGGGGCACAUAUUUGUAAGUUUUGCCGACCGCAGUUGUGUAGCCACGAGUUAGUGCGAAGCACGUGGAGAUCCCUUUUGAUAAGGGAUUAAGGCUGGAGUAAAGCAAGGUAGGCUAGCUUGUUGUUGAAGUGAAUGAGUCAGAUUCACCAGUAUUUUUGGAGCCAGAAGUUGGGUGAUAUUCAUUCCACGUUUUUUUUGAACAAGACGCCAUUUUGUGGAGAAUAGAAAUUUUUCUAUUAGAAGCCGAAAAGCUUUCUUAGAGGUCUUGAAUCAAGCAGGACAUGGUGUUGUGAUAGCCAAGCGAAUUUUGAGCGUAAUCGAAAUUUUGAGCGUGAUGUGAUGAAGUAAAGACACGUGGAAAGGCAACGUGGCCAUUAUCCGUGGCACUAGGGUCAAGCAAGAGCACUAGUAGGUAGAGCUUCUGAUGGAGCUGUUGUUGUUGUCGAGGUCACCACGUAGUCGACUUCAGUAUAUUUUUUGAAGUACGAAUCGUAGCUAGGAGGAGCAACGAAAGUCGUAGUCAGAUAAGUUUACAAUCCAGAACAGAAUGCUGAUGGAGAAGUUAACCAGAAUGCUGGACAGCAACAAGUAGACGAAGACUCUGGACGAGAAUCUGGAAAUUCGAAUGAAAUAGUCUGAACAAUAAUAAAACAUUAAGUAUUUGCAUUUUAUAAUACAAUAAU